rnacentral:lncRNA from 12 species
CCCCCCCCCCCCCCCCCCCCCUGGUUUUUUUUUUUUUUUUUUACUUGAGAAAAUAUUUACAUAGGCAUGUUUCUUUCAACCUCCAUUUCAGGUGAUACUUGGGACAUAGCAAUAUAUAUUACUAAAGGUCCUGUAGCAGCACCCUUUUCUCCUAUGGACAGAGUGGCAAGUGUGUGACCACUUCAGGACAUGAGACCAUCUCAA